CCAGCAGGCCCCGGCCGGCCCGGCGAUGGAGUUUCCGGACCUCGGGGCUCACUGUUCUGAGCCGAGCUGUCAGCGCUUGGAUUUUCUGCCGCUCAAGUGCGACGCCUGCUCCGGCAUCUUCUGCGCAGACCAUGUGGCCUACGCCCAGCAUCACUGUGGAUCUGCUUACCAAAAGGAUAUCCAGGUACCUGUAUGCCCACUCUGUAAUGUGCCUGUGCCUGUGGCCAGAGGGGAGCCCCCUGACCGCGCUGUGGGGGAGCACAUCGACCGAGACUGUCGCUCAGAUCCAGCACAGCAAAAACGUAAGAUCUUCACCAAUAAGUGCGAACGCUCUGGCUGCCGGCAGCGAGAAAUGAUGAAACUGACCUGCGAGCGGUGUGGCCGAAAUUUCUGCAUCAAGCACCGUCACCCACUGGACCAUGAUUGCUCCGGGGACAGUCACCCCACCAGUCGGGCAGGACUUGCUGCCAUCUCCAGAGCACAAGGUCUGGCUUCUUCUACAAGCAGCAUGCCCAGCCCAAGUCGGACAUUGCCUUCAUCUACCUCUCCCAGCAGAGCGACAACCCAGUCUCCGUCCCGGACAGCCCCUCCAGUGAUUGCCCUGCAGAAUGGCUUGAGUGAGGAUGAGGCUCUGCAAAGAGCUCUGGAAUUGUCCUUGGCAGAGACCAAACCCCAGGCCCCAAGGGUCGCGUGAAGACUGAGAAUACUCGGAAGCGCUCAGCACAGGGACGCUAGCAGAUCAGAUGCUCGCGUUUUAGAUAUUACUGUCAUCCAACUUGCGCUGUUGCUCCCUCCCAGUUCUCAGGAGGAAGAAGACUUAGCUUUAGCACAGGCCCUGUCGGCCAGUGAGGCAGAAUACCGACGGCAGCAGGCCCAGAGCCGCAGCUUGAAGCCGUCCAACUGCAGCCUGUGCUAGGGCCCUGGGCUUGGGGAGGGAGGCUCAGCUGAGGAGGACUCUGGCCCCCACACCUCUAGGGUACACAGGGAGAGGAGGCUGGGAGCAGCCAGCAGUGAAGAUGAGGAGGCCACCUCCGGGGAGCAUCCGGAGGAGCAGCGUGUGGAGCCGAGCCUGCAGAAGGCCCCACUGGCCUCUCCAGCUGCCCAGGAGAGAGCAGCUACAAGUGUCCGGUGGGUGGGCCCUUGGUGAAUGCUGGCCAGGCCCCGUACAGCCCCCUGAAUUUUGUCAUCCCCUUUACACUGAGGCUGCCCUCAUGUGUAGGGGGCAAGGAGGGGCCUGGAAGGAAUAAAGGAUCUUGGCAGUCA